rnacentral:rRNA from 1 species
GAUUUCUAGGUGGGAGCGGCGAAAGGGAGACUAAUGGGUGGAUUACUUACCCCCAGGACCGGGAUAGCUGUGGGAAACCGCCUGUAAUACCGGAGAAUAUCUCCGGAUCAAAUGGUGAGAUUCCGCCAGGGGAGGGGUCCGCUUCGUAUUAGCUUGUUGGUGGGGUAACGGCCUACCAAGGCAACAAUGGGUACUGGGUGUGAGAGCAUGGCCCGGCUCACCGGGACUGAAACACUGCCUGCACACCUACGGGUGGCUGCAUGCGAGAAUCUUCCGCAAUGGGCGAACGCCUGACGGAUCGACGCCCCGUGCGGGAUGAACGCCUUCGGGUUGUAAACCGCUGUCAGUUGGGAGGAAAUCUAUGGGGGUUAUCCCCCAUAGUUGACCUAUCUUCAUAGGAAGGACGGGCUAAGUUCGUGCCAACCGCCGCGGUAAGACUAACCGUCCAAACGUUAUUCGGAAUCACUGGGCUUAAAGGGUGCGUAGGCGGCUUGCCAAGUUGGGUGUGAAAUCCCUCGGCUCAACCGAGGAACUGCGCUCAAAACUGCCAAGCUAGAGGAAGAUAGAGGUGAGCGGAACUAAUGGUGGAGCGGUGAAAUGCGUUGAUAUCAUUAGGAACACCCGUGGCGAAAGCGGCUCACUGGGUCUUUUCUGACGCUGAGGCACGAAAGCUAGGGUAGCGAACGGGAUUAGAUACCCCGGUAGUCCUAGCUGUAAACGAUGAGCACUAGGUUGGACGCUCCUCCAUAAGUUUCCGACCGAAGCGAAAGUGUUAAGUGCUCCGCAUGGUGAGUAUGGUAGCAAGGCUGAGACUCUCAGGAAUUGAGGGGGGCUCACACAUUAGUGGAGGAUGUGGCUUAAUUCUUAGAUACGCGUAGAACUUAUCUGCUCUUGUCAUGUACAGAUGUGCCGCUUGAAAAGGAUAUUCCCUGCCGUCGGUGAAACGUACACACGUGCUGCAUGACCAUCCUCGGCUUGUGUCCUGAGAAGUCGGGUAAUCCCUUA